rnacentral:rRNA from 1 species
ACGCUCGACCUACCGGAGGCAGCAGUGGGGAAUAUUGCACAAUGGGGGAAACCCUGAUGCAGCGAUGCCGCGUGAAGGAAGAAGUAUCUCGGUAUGUAAACUUCUAUCAGCAGGGAAGAAAAUGACGGUACCUGACUAAGAAGCCCCGGCUAACUACGUGCCGNNCGCGAGUNUNGCGGCGNGNGAG